rnacentral:rRNA from 1 species
UGCGAGCGUUAAUCGGAAUUACUGGGCGUAAAGCGCAUGCAGGCGGCCUGUUAAGUCAGAUGUGAAAGCCCGGGGCUUAACCUCGGAAUUGCAUUUGAAACUGGCAGGCUAGAGUCUUGUAGAGGGGGGUAGGAAUUUCAGGUGUAGCGGUGAAAUGCGUGGAGAUCUGAAGGAAUACCAGUGGCGAAGGCGGCCCCCUCGGACAAAGACUGACGCUCAGAUGCGAAAGCGUGGGGAGCAAACAGGAUUAGAUACCCUGGUAG